GCGGUAAUUCCAGCUCCAAUAGCGUAUAUUAAAGUUGUUGCAGUUAAAAAGCUCGUAGUUGAAUUUUUGUCGUUAAAAACAAACAUAGCACUAUGUGUAUUGUAUUGUUUUUAUUGACAAUUCUCUUAAUAUUUUAUUUUAGCUUGCUAAAAUAAAAUGUUAGAGGUGUUACUUUGAGAAAAUUAGAGUGCUUCAAGCAGGCGUACUGCCCUGAAUACUCCAGCAUGGAAUAACAUGUAAGGACUAUGGUUCUUCUUGUUGGUUUAAGGACCAAGUAAUGAUUAAUAGGGACAGUUGGGGGCAUUCGUAUUUAGUAGCUAGAGGUGAAAUUCUUAGACCUACUAAAGACGAACUACUGCGAAAGCAUCUGCCAAGGAUGUUUUCAUUAAUCAAGAACGAAAGUUAAGGGAUCGAAGACGAUCAGAUACCGUCGUAGUCUUAACCAUAAACGAUGCCGACUAGAGAUUG
rnacentral:rRNA from 1 species